rnacentral:snRNA from 1 species
UCUUUUCUCUACAGGGUUUUGA